rnacentral:rRNA from 1 species
AAUCAACGCUGGCGGCGUGCCUCAGACAUGCAAGUCGAACGAUUAAACUUUCCUUCGGGAAAGAUAUAAAGUGGCGCACGGGUGAGUAACACGUAAGUAAUCUACCUUCGAGUGGGGAAUAACAUCGGGAACCGAUGCUAAUACCGCAUAAUGCAGCGGCAUCGAAAGAUGACAGUUGUUAAAGGAAGCAAUUCGCUUGAAGAGGAGCUUGCGGCAGAUUAGCUAGUUGGUAAGGUAAUGGCUUACCAAGGCUACGAUCUGUAUCCGGUCUAAGAGGACGGUCGGACACACUGACACUGAAUAACGGGUC